rnacentral:rRNA from 1 species
AUAGGCCGGGUGUGGACGUGCAGUAAUGCAUGAAGCUUACCGGUACUAAUCGUUCGAUCGAACUUGAUCGU